rnacentral:rRNA from 1 species
UAAAUACUCCCGAGAGACCGAUAGCGAACCAGUACCGUGAGGGAAAGGUGAAAAGCACUUCGAACAGAAGAGUGAAAUAGUUCCUGAAACCGUGCGCCUACAAGCGGUCGGAGCUCGUUAAUGAGUGACGGCGUGCCUUUUGCAUAAUGAACCUACGAGUUGCCUUUGCCGGCAAGGUUAAGUGUGACGACACACGUAUCCGAAGCGAAAGCGAGUCUGAACAGGGCGUAUAGUCGGCAGUGGCAGACGCGAAACCAAGUGAUCUACCCUUGGCCAGGUUGAAGGCUGGGUAACACCAGCUGGAGGACCGCACCAAUAAGCGUUGAAAAGCUUCUGGAUGAGCUGAGGGUAGGGGUGAAAGGCUAAUCAAACUUGGAGAUAGCUCGUACUCCCCGAAAUGCAUUUAGGUGCAGCCUUGCGGGUUACUGAUGUGAGGUAGAGCGACUGAUAAGAUGCGAGGGCUUCACCGCCUAUCAAGUCUUGACAAACUCCGAAUGCGCAUCAGUUCUACCGCAGGAGUGAGGGCAUGGGUGCUAAGGUCCGUGCCCGAGAGGAGAAGAAUCCGGACCACCUGCUAAGGUCCCGAAAUGACAGCUAAGUUAAACUAACGAAGUCUGACUGCUAAGACAGCUAGGAUGUUGGCUUGGAAGCAGCCAUUCAUUUAAAGAGUGCGUAACAGCUCACUAGUCGAGGAGUCGGGCGUGGAUAAUAAUCGGGUAUUAAGUUGUCUACCGAAGCAGUGGGAUCAUUAAUAUGAUCGGUAGGGGAGCAUUCCAGUCAGCGUCGAAGGCGUACCGUGAGGUAUUCUGGAGCGUCUGGAAAAGCAAAUGUAGGUAUAAGUAACGAUAAAGGGGGCGGGAAACCCCCUCGCCGAAAGACUAAGGUUUCCUGAUCAACGCUAAUCGGAUCAGGGUCAGUCGGGUCCUAAGGCUCAGCCGAACGGCGAUGCCGAUGGCAGAAACGGUUAAUAUUCCGUUACUACCUUCAGGAGUGACGUGGAGACGCAGUAGUGACAGUGCCGCCAUCUGACGGAAUAGAUGGUUGAAGGGUGUAGGAGUCGAUCAUGGCAGGCAAAUCCACCAUGAGAUCCGAACCUGACAGUAUGCCGCGUCCUUCGGGACAAGGCAAUAGUGCGCGUAAGCAUGCUGCCGAGAAAAUCCGCUAAACUUAAUCCUGCAGGUACCCGUACCGCAAACGGACACACGUAGUCGGGAUGAAUAUUCUAAGGCGCUUGAGUGAUUCACGGUUAAGGAACUAGGCAAACUGACCCUGUAACUUCGGGAUAAAGGGUCCUCAAGCAAUUGAGGCGCAGAGAAUAGGUCCAGGCAACUGUUUAACAAAAACACAGGGCUGUGCAAAAUUGAAAGAUGAAGUAUACAGCCUGACACCUGCCCGGUGCUGGAAGGUUAAGAGGAGACGUCAUCGCAAGAGAAGCGUUGAAUUGAAGCCCCAGUAAACGGCGGCCGUAACUAUAACGGUCCUAAGGUAGCGAAAUUCCUUGUCGGGUAAGUUCCGACCUGCACGAAUGGUGUAAUGAUCUGGACGCUGUCUCAACCGUGAGCUCAGUGAAAUUGUAGUAUCGGUGAAGAUGCCGAUUACCCGCGAUGGGACGAAAAGACCCCGUGAACCUUUACUAUAGCUUAACAUUGAAUUUGGGUAAUUGAUGUGUAGGAUAGGCCGGAGACUUUGAAGCAGGUACGCCAGUAUUUGUGGAGUCGCUGUUGAAAUACGGCCCUUUGAUUAUUUGAGUUCUAACUCGUAGAUGCGAGGACACUGUUUGGUGGGUAGUUUGACUGGGGUGGUCGCCUCCAAAAGUGUAACGGAGGCUUCUAAAGGUGCCCUCAGGACGAUUGGUAACCGUCCGUAGAGUGUAAUGGCAUAAGGGCGCUUGACUGGGAGACAGACAAGUCGAUCAGGUAGGAAACUAGAGCAUAGUGAUCCGGUGUUUCCGUAUGGAA